rnacentral:rRNA from 1 species
UACAGAGGUCCCAAGCGUUGUUCGGAUUUACUGGGCGUAAAGGGUGCGUAGGUGGCGGGGUAAGUCUGGUGUGAAAGCUCCGAGCUUAACUCGGAAAAGCAUUGGAAACUAUCCCGCUGGAGGGUCGGAGGGGAGACUGGAAUUCUCGGUGUAGCGGUGAAAUGCGCAGAUAUCAGGAAGAACACCCGUGGCGAAGGCGGUUCUCUGGGCAACAACUGACGCUGAGGAGCGAAAGCGUGGGGAGCGAACAGG